UACGAAGGGGGCGAGCGUUGUUCGGAUUUACUGGGCGUAAAGGGCGCGCAGGCGGCGAUCUUUGUCAGGCGUGAAAGCCCCGGGCUUAACCUGGGAACUGCGCUUGGGACGGGAUUGCUGGAGACCGGGAGAGGAGAGUGGAAUUCCCAGUGUAGAGGUGAAAUUCGUAGAUAUCGGGAGGAAUACCAGUGGCGAAGGCGCUGAACUGGACGGUAACUGACGCUGAGGUGCGAAAGCGUGGGUAGCAAACAGG
rnacentral:rRNA from 1 species